CGUGUAAUGACAUUAAAAUAUGAGAUGUGAAGCAGAGGUGAUUUCCAGGCAUGUUUUCACUCUGCAGAUAUAAAAACAGUGAACAGACUCUUCUAUUGGCUCCAGUUAGACCAACAUUGAUGCUUCAUAUAUGUUUGAUUCUAUAUAUGCAAACUCAGUGAGCUUCAGCUAUAAAACAUCACAUCAGGCUGUCAGAGGAGUUCACAGCACGUCAGCUUCAACAUCAACCAUGUUCUCUGGAGCUCUGCUGCUGCUGUUGGCAGCUGGAUGUGUGAAGGGUGAAACGUUGACUCAGCCAGCCUCUGUGACUGUGCAGCCAGGUCAACGUCUGACCAUCACCUGUCAGGUCUCUUAUUCUGUUAGCAGCUACCGCACAGCUUGGAUCAGACAGCCUGCAGGGAAAGGACUGGAGUGGAUCGGAAUGAAAUAUACUGGAGAUUCAUACUACAAAGAUUCACUGAAGAACAAGUUCAGUAUCGACUUAGCUACUUCCAGCAACACAGUGACUCUAAACGGACAGAACGUGCAGCCUGAAGACUCUGCUGUGUAUUACUGUGCCAGAGACACACAGUGAGAGACGAUAAUAGGAGAGUCAUACAAAAACUACUUCCUCUAUUUACCACCACCACUGGGAACACUCUGUUAUCUCAGC